GCCAGUUCUCCAUAAAUCUCCACGCCUCCUUCUCCACCAAGCUGCACACCAAGCCCUAGAACCCUAGCCACCUCUCUCUAUCCCUCCCUCUCAUCCUGAAACCUCUCUUCCAAUUGUUCAUCACCUUGGCUUUCGCACUUUGGGAAAGAAGAGGAUGGAAGGAGUAAGGGCAAGCAAGCCACCACCAUGAGCGACUAGAAGUAUUUCUACCUUAGGGGAGUAGAUGACAUCUUGA
rnacentral:lncRNA from 1 species